rnacentral:rRNA from 1 species
GACGAACGCUGGCGGCGUGCUUAACACAUGCAAGUCGAACGGAAAGGCCCUGCUUGCAGGGUACUCGAGUGGCGAACGGGUGAGUAACACGUGGGUGAUCUGCCCUGCACUUCGGGAUAAGCUUGGGAAACUGGGUCUAAUACCGGAUAGGAGCCAUCUUUAGUGUGGUGGUUGGAAAGUUUUUUCGGUGUAGGAUGAGCUCGCGGCCUAUCAGCUUGUUGGUGGGGUAAUGGCCUACCAAGGCGGCGACGGGUAGCCGGCCUGAGAGGGUGUACGGCCACAUUGGGACUGAGAGACGGCCCAGACUCCUACGGGAGGCAGCAGUGGGGAAGAUUGCACAAGGGGCGCAAGCCUGAUGCAGCGACGCCGCGUGGGGGAUGAAGGCCUUCGGGUUGUAAACUCCGUUCGCUAGGGACGAAGCUUUUUGUGACGGUACCUAGAUAAGAAGCACCGGCUAACUACGUG